AUAUCCUGCUUAGGUCCAAUGACCCUAAGCCACACAAUUCCUGGGAGACCCUCUGCACCCUUGUCUACAAGGGUCUCCUGACACUCAGGUUCUCACAGCUCAGAGGCGGUGAGCUUGAGGUAUUUGUUUUAUCUUGAUCUCUCUCUCUGACAAAAGACUCCAAAUGACGAGGAACUCACUGAAGACACUAACCAAAAGAUGGCAGUCUUGGAAGUAAUUUUAGCUGUCACCUUGAGUCUGCUGGGUCUUGCUAUCCUGGCUAUCCUGAUAAUAAGAUGGACACGGAGGCGUAGGCAAAAUGAGGCACGGAUCUCCAGAUACACUUCAGAACAGAGUGCUGGUCUUCUGGAGUAUGAGGACGGUGUUUCCUCGGGGAGACGUAAGAAAGGAAGAGGAGGGUCCCGAAGUUCGUUUUCAACAGGAAGUG